rnacentral:rRNA from 1 species
UACGGGGGGGGGCAAGCGUUGUUCGGAAUUACUGGGCGUAAAGGGCUCGUAGGUGGCCAACUAAGUCAGACGUGAAAUCCCUCGGCUUAACCGGGGAACUGCAUCUGAUACUGGAUGGCUUGAGUUUGGGAGAGGGAUGCGGAAUUCCGGGUGUAGCGGUGAAAUGCGUAGAUAUCGUAAGGAAGACCAGUGGCGAAGGCGGGUCUCUGGACAGUUCCUGACGCUGAGGCAGCGAAAGGCCAGGGGAGCAAACAGG